AAGUCGUAACAAGGUUUCCGUAGGUGAACCUGCGGAAGGAUCAUUAUUGAGGGAUUGAUUUGAAAGUAGUGUGAAUGAGGAUGUUGCUGGGGGACUGAGGACUCUUCUGGGUUGCUCACCACUGGGCUACCUUUGAAAGUGAUCCCGUACCCCCACCUGUUAACCACUUUACCAUCUAUUGAUACAUACCUGGGAUCACUCCCAUGGGAUAAAACAACUUUUAGCAACGGAUCUCUAGGCUCUC
rnacentral:misc_RNA from 1 species